UUAUUUUAUUUUAUUUUUUGCGACUUUUUUCUUUUAACAAGGUAAAAAUCAAUGAGUGAUUUUUGAGAAACACUUACAAUUAAUGGUGAAUCCGAACUGCGGUCUUGAAGGCAAGAAGUUGUUGGUCAUGUUGAACCAAAGAACCUUAAUUUAGGUGCUAUGAUGGUGGUGAUAAAAGAAAUUUCCUGGUAGUUGUGUGAUAGAUUUUUUAAAUGCUGUUAUUUAGAGUGGUUGAGUUGAAGAAAGAAUGCAUAUGAUUGAAGUCACGUGACUAUUGUUCAAUGUAAUAUGUUCUUGAUAUCAUUAGCAAAUCUGGAAUAGUUUUUUGGUUAAUGGAGGAGGGCUAAUGGGCAAGAUUAAUGAGGCAAAAUGUUGAUGUUGGUUUAUUGAGAUCCAAGAUGACUCGUGUUAAGGCCCUAGAAAUUAAUCUGGCAUGGUUUAUUUUCUCUGGAAGGGCACAAUGAAAUAUGAAGCAUAUAAUAAAAAUGGAUCAUACAUCCAGAAUCAACAGCAUGACUCUGUGAAAACUGACAUUGGGACUAAACAAAUGCAAAACCAUACCUGUACCAAUGACACAAAAAGAAGAAAAUAAUCUCUUAGUUUGAUCACUCAAUCCACUACAUGUUAGUUUGAUAACAAAUGCAAAACCAUACCCGUAUCAUGUUAAAGAACCGUAUAAUCCGCUACACUAUUUUGCAUUGUGCUAGACCAAGUUUGAAUCUUGUCACCCAAUUGACCGGGAUUGAACAGACAAGACUCAACCAGAUUAAUUCUUAAAGGCAUUAACACUUUCACUUCCAGACGCAGGUAUGAACUGCCCGUCUGCCCCCCAAUCCCCAUCAACUUUUGACCUCCGGCCAGAUGCAAACAACCCUCUCGAAUAAAAAGGAACAAAGCCCAGAAAACACUUCAAGAAGAUGAAAGAAAACCACCAUCAAACCGGAUAUUAAA
rnacentral:lncRNA from 1 species